rnacentral:rRNA from 1 species
UGGGGAAUAUUGCACAAUGGGCGCAAGCCUGAUGCAGCCAUGCCGCGUGUAUGAAGAAGGCCUUCGGGUUGUAAAGUACUUUCAGCGGGGAGGAAGGGAGUAAAGUUAAUACCUUUGCUCAUUGACGUUACCCGCAGAAGAAGCACCGGCUAACUCCGUGCCAGCAGCCGCGGUAAUACGGAGGGUACAAGCGUUAAUCGGAAUUACUGGGCGUAAAGCGCACGCAGGCGGUUUGUUAAGUCAGAUGUGAAAUCCCCGGGCUCAACCUGGGAACUGCAUCUGAUACUGGCAAGCUUGAGUCUCGUAGAGGGGGGUAGAAUUCCAGGUGUAGCGGUGAAAUGCGUAGAGAUCUGGAGGAAUACCGGUGGCGAAGGCGGCCCCCUGGACGAAGACUGACGCUCAGGUGCGAAAGCGUGGGGAGCAAACAGG